ensembl:lncRNA
GCAGAAAGUUGUUUCAGAUUAAUGAAACAAUGUGAAUGUCAACCCCAGGGGAGUCAGGGGGGAAUGAGGUGUUUUGGAGGUGAGUCACCGUAGAGAUGUCAACCUCAGGGGAGUCAGGGGGGAAUGAGGUGUUUUGGAGGUGUGUCACCGUAGAGAUGUCAACCUCAGGGGAGUCAGGGGCGAAUGAGGUGUUUUGGAGGUGAGUCACCGUAGAGAUGUCAACCUCAGGGGAGUCAGUGGGGAAUGAGGUGUUUUGGAGGUGAGUCACCGUAGAGAUGUCAACCUCAGGGGAGUCAGGGGGGAAUGAGGUGUUUUGGAGGUGAGUCACCGUAGAGAUGUCAACCCCAGGGGAGAAUGAGGUGUUUUGGAGGUGAGUCACCGUAGAGAUGUCAACCUCAGGGGGAGUCAGUGGGGAAUGAGGUGUUUUGGAGGUGAGUCACCGUAGAGAUGUCAACCCCAGGGGAG